CAACAGGGAUUGCCCCAGUAACGGCGAGUGAAGCGGCAGCAGCUCAGAUUUGAAAUCUGGCCCCCCGGCGGGGGCCCGAGUUGUAGUCUGCAGAGGAUGCCCUGGGCGCGGCGCCUUCCGAGUUCCCUGGAACGGGACGCCACAGAGGGUGAGAGCCCCGUCCGGUCGGACGCCAGGCCCGUGUAGGGCUCCUUCGACGAGUCGAGUAGUUUGGGAAUGCUGCUCAAAGUGGGAGGUAUAUGUCUUCUAAAGCUAAAUACCGGCCAGAGACCGAUAGCGCACAAGUAGAGUGAUCGAAAGAUGAAAAGCACUUUGGAAAGAGGGUUAAAGAGCACGUGAAAUUGCUGAAAGGGAAGCGCCCGCGACCAGACUUGGGCCCGGCAGGUCACCCAGGCUCUCGGGCCAGGGGCACUCUGCCGGGCGCAGGCCAGCAUCGGCUCGGCGCGGGGGACAAAGGCGGCGGGAACGUGGCUCCUCAGGGAGUGCUUAUAGCCCGCCGCGCCAUGCCCCGUGCCGGGCCGAGGCACGCGCACCGCAAGGAUGCUGGCGUAAUGGUCGCCGGCGACCCGUCUUGAAACACGGACCAAGGAGUCGUCCUCGUAUGCGAGUGUUGGGGUGCCAAACCCCUACGCGCAGUGAAAGCGAACGCAGGUGAGAGCCGAAGCCUCGGCGCAUCAUCGACCGAUCCUGAUGUUCUCGGAUGGAUUUGAGUAGGAGCAUACGGGGCCGGACCCGAAAGAAGGUGAACUAUGCCUGUGUAGGGUGAAGCCAGAGGAAACUCUGGUGGAGGCUCGCAGCGGUUCUGACGUGCGAAUCGAUCGUCAAACAUGGGCAUGGGGG
rnacentral:rRNA from 3 species